rnacentral:rRNA from 1 species
UGGGGAAUCAUAGACAAUGGGGGAAACCCUGAUCUUGCCAUGCCGCGUGGACGACGAAGGCCUUAGGGUUGUAAAGUCCUUUCACCGGUGAAGAUAAUGACGGUAGCCGGAGAAGAAGCCCCGGCUAACUCCGUGCCAGCAGCCGCGGUAAUACGGAGGGGGCUAGCGUUGUUCGGAAUUACUGGGCGUAAAGCGCGCGUAGGCGGGCUGUUAAGUCGGGGGUGAAAUCCCGGGGCUCAACCCCGGAACUGCCUCCGAUACUGGCAGCCUAGAGGACGAUAGAGGCUAGUGGAAUGGCGAGUGUAGAGGUGAAAUUCGUAGAUAUUCGCCGGAACACCAGUGGCGAAGGCGACUGGCUGGAUCGUUUCUGACGCUGAGGUGCGAAAGUGUGGGGAGCAAACAGGAUUAGAUACCCCCGUAGUCC